GACAGAGGUGCCAAGCGUUAGGCGGAAUCACUGGGCUUAAAGCGUGUGCAGGCGGGUGGCUAAGUACCCUGUGAAAUCCCACGGCUCAACCGUGGAACUGCUGGGUAUACUGGGUGCCUUGGGUCAUCUAGGGGCUGCCGGAACAAAUGGUGGAGCGGUGAAAUGCGUAGAUAUCAUUUGGAACGCCAACGGCGAAAGCAGGCAGCUGGGGAUGCACCGACGCUGAGACACGAAAGCCAGGGGAGCGAACGGG
rnacentral:rRNA from 1 species